GCCAUUAGAAGACUUGCGGAUGGAUCAUCUCAUCCUAUACGCAUAGUGAAUCGUCUGCUGUAUUGCUUACACAUGAUUGUCUGCAUUUUUAUGAAAACUUUACGCUGGUAGGCCUUCUAUCUGAGGCCUGCCAGACAUUAAACUCAACCAGAUUAUAUCUAAUGUCAACCGAUAAUUUAGUAGUCAAAACUUUCAACAACGGAUCUCUUGGUUCUCGCAUCGAUUAAUAACGCAUCAAAACGCCAUAAGUAAUAUGAAUUGCAGAUAUUCAUGAAUCAUCGAAUCUAUGAACGCACAUUGCGCCCUUUGGUAUUCCAAAGGGCAAGCCUGUUUCAGAGUGAUUUCUCCCUCAAACCCUCCGGUUUGGUGUUGAGCGAUACUCUGGAUUUGCUUGAAAGAAAGGCGGAGUAUAAACUAAUGGAUAGGUUUUUUCCAUUCAAUGGUACAAACUCCAAAACUACUUCCAAAUUCCAUCUCAAAUCAGGUAGGACUACCCACUGAACUUAAGCAUAUCAUUAAGCGGAGGAAAAGAAACCAACCAGCCAUCAUUAACUGAAUAUAAACGUUAAUAAGGCGAACGAACCGAACUGACACAUCUAAGUACACCGAGGAAACGAAACUAACCACGACACACUAGCAUUAACUGAAUCCAUAGGUUAAUGAGGCGAACCAGCGGCAACUGAAACAUCUAAGUACGCACAAGAAAACAAACAAACCAAAA
rnacentral:rRNA from 1 species